rnacentral:lncRNA from 1 species
UCCACCUCUGGGGGCAGGGCACAGACAAACAAAAAGACAGCAGUAACCUCUGAAGACUUAAAUGUCCCUGUCUGACAGCUUUGAAGAGAGCAGUGGUUCUCCCAGUACGCAGCUGGAGAUCUGAGAACGGGCAGAUUGCCUCCUCAAGUGGGUCCCUGACCCCCGAGCAGCCUAACUGGGAGGCACCCCCCAGCAGGGGCACACUGACACCUCACACGGCAGGGUAUUCCAACAGACCUGUGGCUGAGGGUCCUGUCUGUUAGAAGGAAAACUAACAAACAGAAAGGACAUCCACACCAAAAACCCAUCUGUACAUCACCAUCAUCAAAGACCAAAAGGAGAUAAAACCACAAAGAUGGGGAAAAAACAGAACAGAAAAACUGGAAAUUCUAAAAAGCAGAGCGCCUCUCCUCCUCCAAAGGAACGCAGCUCCUCACCAGCAACGGAACAAAGCUGGACGGAGAAUGACUUUGAUGAGCUGAGAGAAGAAGGCUUCAGACGAUCAAAUUACUCUGAGCUACGGGAGGACAUUCAAACCAAAGGCAAAGAAGUUGAAAACUUUGAAAAAACUUUAGAAGAAUGCAUAACUAGAAUAACCAAUACAGAGAAGUGCUUAAAGGAGCUGAUGGAGCUGAAAACCAAGGCUGGAGAACUACGUGAAGAAUGCAGAAGCCUCAGGAGCCGAUGCGAUCAACUGGAAGAAAGGGUAUCAGCGAUGGAAGAUGAAAUGAAGCGAGAAGGGAAGUUUAGAGAAAAAAGAAUAAAAAGAAAUGAGCACAGCCUCCAAGAAAUAUGGGACUAUGCGAAAAGACCAAAUCUACGUCUGAUUGGUGUACCUGAAAGUGAUGGGGAGAAUGGAACCAAGUUGGAAAACACUCUGCAGGAUAUUAUCCAGGAGAACUUCCCCAAUCUAGCAAGGCAGGCCAACGUUCAGCUUCAGGAAAUACAGAGAACGCCACAAAGAUACUCCUUGAGAAGAGCAACUCCAAGACACAUAAUUGUCAGAUUCACCAGAGUUGAAAUGAAGGAAAAAAUGUUAAGGGCAGCCAGAGAGAAAGGUCGGGUUACCCUCAAAGGGAAGCCCAUCAGACUAACAGUGGAUCUCUCGGCAGAAACCCUACAAGCCAGAAAGAGUGGGGGCCAAUAUUCAACAUUCUUAAAGAAAAGAAUUUUCAACCCAGAAUUUCAUAUCCAGCCAAACUAAGCUUCAUAAGUGAAGGAGAAAUAAAAUACUUUACAGACAAGCAAAUGCUGAGAGAUUUUGUCACCACCAGGCCUGCCCUAAAAGAGCUCCUGAAGGAAGCGCUAAACAUGGAAAAGAACAACCGGUACCAGCCGCUGCAAAAUCAUGCCAAAAUGUAAAGACCAUCCAGACUAGGAAGAAACUGCAUCAACUAACGAGCAAAAUCACCAGCUAACAUCAUAAUGACAGGAUAAAAUUCACACAUAACAGUAUUAACUUUAAAUGUAAAUGGACUAAAUGCUCCAAUUAAAAGACACAGACUGGCAAAUUGGAUAAAGAGUCAAGACCCAUCAGUGUGCUGUAUUCAGGAAACCCAUCUCAAGUGCAGAGACACACAUAGGCUCAAAAUAAAAGGAUGGAGGAAGAUCUACCAAGCAAAUGGAAAACAAAAAAAGGCAGGGGUUGCAAUCCUGGUCUCUGAUAAAACAGACUUUAAACCAACAAAGAUCAAAAGAGACAAAGAAGGCCAUUACAUAAUGGUAAAGGGAUCAAUUGAACAAGAAGAGCUAACUAUCCUAAAUAUAUAUGCACCCAAUACAGGAGCACCCAGAUUCAUAAAGCAUGUCCUGAGUGACCUACAAAGAGACUUAGACUCCCACACGUUAAUAAUGCGAGUCUUUAACACCCCACUGUCAACAUUAGACAGAUCAAUGAGACAGAAAGUCAACACCCAGGAAUUGAACUCAGCUCUGUACCAAGCGGACCUAAUAGACAUCUACAGGACUCUCCACCCCAAAUCAACAGAAUAUAUAUUUUUUUCAGCACCGCACCACACCUAUUCCAAAAUUGACCACAUACUUGGAAGUAAAGCUCUCCUCAGCAAAUGUAAAAGAACAGAAAUUGUAACAAACUAUCUCUCAGACCACAGUGCAAUCAAACUAGAACUCAGGAUUAAGAAUCUCACUCAAAACCGCUCAACUACAUGGAAACUGAACAACCUGCUCCUGAAUGACUACUGGGUACAUAACGAAAUGAAGGCAGAAAUGAAGAUGUUCUUUGAAACCAACGAGAACAAAGACACAACAUACCAGAAUCUCUGGGACGCAUUCAAAGCAGUGUGUAGAGGGAAAUUUAUAGCACUAAAUGCUCACAAGAGAAAGCAGGAAAGAUCCAAAAUUGACACCCUAACAUCACAAUUAAAAGAACUAGAAAAGCAAGAGCAAACACAUUCAAAAGCUAGCAGAAGGCAAGAAAUAACUAAAAUCAGAGCAGAACUGAAGGAAAUAAUAGAGACACAAAAAACCCUUCAAAAAACUAGUGAAUCCAGGAGCUGGUUUUUUGAAAGGAUCAACAAAAUUGAUAGACUGCUAGCAAGACUAAUAAAGAAAAAAAGAGAGAAGAAUCAAAUAGAUGUAAUAAAAAAUGACAAAGGGGAUAUCACCACUGAUCCCACAGAAAUACAAACUACCAUCAGAGAAUACUACAAACACCUCUACACAAAUAAACUAGAAAAUCUAGAAGAAAUGGAUAAAUUCCUCGACACAUACACUCUCCCAAGACUAAACCAGGAAGAAGUUGAAUCUCUGAAUAGACCAAUAACAGGAGCUGAAAUUGUGGCAAUAAUCAAUAGCUUACCAACCAAAAAGAGUCCAGGACCAGAUGGAUUCACAGCCGAAUUCUACCAGAGGUACAAGGAGGAACUGGUACCAUUCCUUCUGAAACUAUUCCAAUCAAUAGAAAAACAGGGAAUCCUCCCUAACUCAUUUUAUGAGGCCAGCAUCAUUCUGAUACCAAAGCCGGGCAGAGACUCAACCAAAAAAGAGAAUUUUAGACCAAUAUCCUUGAUGAACAUUGAUGCAAAAAUCCUCAAUAAAAUACUGGCAAAACGAAUCCAGCAGCACAUCAAAAAGCUUAUCCACCAUGAUCAAGUGGGCUUCAUCCCUGGGAUGCAAGGCUGGUUCAAUAUAGGCAAAUCAAUAAGUGUAAUCCAGCAUAUAAACAGAGCCAAAGACAAAAACCACAUGAUUAUCUCAAUAGAUGCAGAGAAGGCCUUUGACAAAAUUCAACAACCUUUCAUGCUAAAAACUCUCAAUAAAUUAGGUAUUGAUGGGACAUAUUUCAAAAUAAUAAGAGCUAUCUAUGACAAACCCACAGCCAAUAUCAUACUGAAUGGGCAAAAACUGGAAGCAUUCCCUUUGAAAACUGGCACAAGACAGGGAUGCCCUCUGUCACCACU